rnacentral:rRNA from 1 species
AACGAACGCUGGCGGCAUGCCUAACACAUGCAAGUCGAACGAGACCUUCGGGUCUAGUGGCGCACGGGUGCGUAACGCGUGGGAACCUGCCCUUAGGUUCGGAAUAACUCCCCGAAAGGGGUGCUAAUACCGGAUAAUGUCUUCGGACCAAAGAUUUAUCGCCUUUGGAUGGGCCCGCGUUGGAUUAGCUAGUUGGUAGGGUAAAAGCCUACCAAGGCGACGAUCCAUAGCUGGUCGGAGAGGAUGAUCAGCCACACUGGGACUGAGACACGGACCAGACUCCUACGGGAGGCAGCAGUGGGGAAUAUUGGACAAUGGGCGAAAGCCUGAUCCAGCAAUGCCGCGUGAGUGAUGAAGGCCUUAGGGUUGUAAAGCUCUUUUACCCGGGAUGAUAAUGACAGUACCGGGAGAAUAAGCUCCGGCUAACUCCGUG